UACCCCCGAUCUCCACCUUCAUCCUGAUCGUCUCCUAAAAGGUCGUAUCCUCCGAUCGUAGCUGAUCGUAACCAUUCAAGUUAACGUGUCAAUUUACACCGACUUCUUUCCGUUCCUCUGCGGAUCGCCGGACUCCUCAGCUGAUCACAAGAGUUCUAUUUUUUCUGGACGCCGGAGCAUGGCGGAUAAAUUCAGCACAGAUUAACCCGUGCUGGAAAGGAAGUCGGGCACAGACACAGAAUAAAACAUCCGGCUUCUUUUCAAAAUAAAACACAAACGACGAACAAGUGAAAGGUUUUUAGACGUCAUUUCACCCUGAUGACACCAUGGAUGAGGAGAUGCUGAUUCUAGAAGUCUAGAAGUAGAUUUCCUCCUCUGGAAGGACACAAUCUACUGCUUAUAUGUCUAUGUGUCUGUCUUUAUAGAGACGACUCGUUAUCGUGAGAUUGAACGUGAAUCUGCAGGUUCUUGUGAGUUCUCCUGAUUACCGCGGUCUGUAAUCCACGACAAAAUUCGCCUCACAAACAGA